AAAAGAAUCUUUAAAAGAGAGUUAAAACUACCAUAAAUUAUCUUAAAAUAACUGUAUAGACUGUAUGAAAUACCUUAAAAGAUAUAAUGUAAAGUUUUGAAGUUCUGGGUUUUCGGGAUUUAGGUAGACUUAUGCGUAGUGUAAAUUUUUAUUUUAGCUUAGAUUU
rnacentral:rRNA from 1 species